rnacentral:hammerhead_ribozyme from 1 species
GUCAGUUGAUGAGUCCCAAAUAGAACGAAACGCAUGUCCUUCAU